CCUACGGGAGGCAGCAGUGGGGAAUAUUGGGCAAUGGGCGCAAGCCUGACCCAGCAACGCCGCGUGAAGGAAGAAGGCUUUCGGGUUGUAAACUUCUUUUAAGGGGGAAGAGCAGAAGACGGUACCCCUUGAAUAAGCCACGGCUAACUACGUGCCAGCAGCCGCGGUAAUACGUAGGUGGCAAGCGUUGUCCGGAUUUACUGGGUGUAAAGGGCGUGCAGCCGGAGAGACAAGUCAGAUGUGAAAUCCACGGGCUCAACCCGUGAACUGCAUUUGAAACUGUUUCCCUUGAGUGUCGGAGAGGUAAUCGGAAUUCCUUGUGUAGCAGUGAAAUGCGUAGAUAUAAGGAAGAACACCAGUGGCGAAGGCGGAUUACUGGACGAUAACUGACGGUGAGGCGCGAAAGCGUGGGGAGCAAACAGGAUUAGAUACCCCUGUAGUC
rnacentral:rRNA from 1 species